rnacentral:rRNA from 1 species
UUCAGCACUAAGUCACUUUAUCUUUAUGGUAAAUGUGAGAUGCAGUGUAUGGAAUAUUCAAUUUCUAGUAUGAGAAGUUAACGAUUUAAGUCCUUCUUAAAUGAGGCCAUUUACCCAUAGAGGGUGCCAGGCCCGUAUAACGUUAAUGAUUACUAGAGAAUAUUUCCAAAGAGUCGUGUUGCUUGAUAGUGCAGCACUAAGUGGGUGGUAAACUCCAUCUAAAACUAAAUAUAACCAUGAGACCGAUAGUAAACAAGUACCGUGAGGGAAAGUUGAAAAGAACUCUGAAUAGAGAGUUAAAUAGUACGUGAAACUGCUUAGAGGUUAAGCCCGAUGAACCUGAAUAUCCAUUAUGGAAAAUUCAUCAUUAUGAUUAUGAUAUGAAUAAUAUCUAUAAUAAUGGUGUGCAUUUUUUCCAUAUAAGGACAUUGUAAUCUAUUAAUAUACAAAAAUUUAUCAUAAGAUCAAUGACUUAAGUUUAUUCAAAUUAUUUUGCUUGCAAUUUAACAUAGAAUAAAUGUUAUUGAUUUGAUAAAGUGUUGAUAGAUAUAUUAUAUACAGUGCUUGAAUAUAUUUUAUAUAUAUCUAUAAUAGCAUAAUAAUCAUUGAUUAUUUGUGUUUAUUUUAUGCACUUGUAUGAUUUACAAUGCGAAAGAUUCAGGAUACCUUCGGGACCCGUCUUGAAACACGGACCAAGGAGUCUAACAUAUUUGCAAGUUAUUGGGAAUUAAAAAACCUAAUAGCGAAAUUAACAUAACUUAUAUAAUGGGAUUAGUUUUUGUCUAUUUAUAGUCUAUUAAUUCAAUCCCGGGGCGUUCUAUCAGUUAUGUAUUUUAAUACUUGUAUUAUUUAUACCUCUAACUAGAGCGUACCUUGAGCAUAUAUGCUGUGACCCGAAAGAUGGUGAACUAUACUUGAUCAGGUUGAAGUCAGGGGAAACCCUGAUGGAAGACCGAAACAGUUCUGACGUGCAAAUCGAUUGUCAGAAUUGAGUAUAGGGGC